rnacentral:lncRNA from 15 species
AUGAAAGUGACUGACACACAGCUCCAUUUUCAGUGGCAGGUCCUUAACUGCCUGAUUGCCACUGUGAAGCUCAGGAAUUUCCUUACGCUGACUUUCCUGCAUGGCAAAGGCACAGGACUGAUUCCUUCCCUGCUGAAACAGCAAAUCCUUGAGACAGACAGGAGGGGAGGCUCAUUCGCCGCUGCCAGUGCUAAGAUUAUUAUCAUUAAGAGGAGGCAAAUAAAAUGUCCCUCAGACAAGGUUGACAAACCCAGCUCCCUGUGCCAGGCUCCUCAGGGACCAUCGCUUCAAUACAGCGAGGGCAAACAACACCAGCCGAUACCAACACCAUUACCACCUCCUAUAGUUACUUAUCCUCCCCUCCCUCCCUGUGGAGUGCUCUGUCUACACAGACCAGAGGAAAAUGCAUUAAGAUCUUCCAGCAGCAUAGAGAAAGAGUCCUGCUUUCAUUUAUCACUAUUGCUAUUGGCCCUAAAAGGGACAAAUGUCUGUUCUCCAUCUCUGUGCUAUUAGAAUUGGAGAAAUGUGUGCUGUGUGUGUGAGAUGGAAGUUAUUUUGUGCUCCAGAGACGAUCCACUGUGAGGCUGUUUAGCAGGAAGGGAACAGGUGUGCCGAGCUUCUGGCUUCCACCAUGUGUUCCAGUUGUUUCAUCUGCACCUGUUUCCCAAGUCCUAUAUAUGACGAUCAAAACACUUUAUUAACCAUAAAGUGUUCUCGUUCAUAUGCUACACUAUCUCUGCCUCUAAAUGUUCCACAGUCACAUAUUACCAUGAGGUAAUUAAUUGAUGCAACAGAGGUCAUUGUGUCAAAAUAAUGUAUAUUAACCAGGAAAAUAUAGCCAACUAAAAAGAUAAACUUUAAUUUGCGAGUUUGCAUAUUGAUGAAUAGUCAUUUAAACUACAGUAAAACAGGCUCUUGAAAGCAUUGAUGAUGAUUUUUUAUGAACAAGCUGUCUUAAUGUAAAUGAUGUGCUUCAUGCAUAAAAUCAGAGCAGUACAUUUCUUCUAAUUUCUGACAGCAACCACAACCAAAGAGUUGAAAUUGCCAAACCCUAAACCAAAGCUGAAAUCUUUCCCCCCCUGAGGUCCAGCAAAGAUUCCCAAACAUCUUGUGUAAGGCUGCAAGUAACGAUUAUUUCAUUAUUCUUUAAUCUGCACUGUAUUUUUUUUCCCAUUAAUGAUAAAGUGUUUGGUGUAAAGAAUGUCAGAAAAUAGGGAAAAAUGUCCAUCGGAAUGUCCUGAUGCCCAAGGUGACAUCUUCAGGGUUCUUGUUUUGUUCAACCAAAACCAACAAAAAUAUUAGAUUUACUGAAUAAAGGCCUCACAGUUGAGUAGGUGGAAACAGAGAAUUAUUGACAUUGUUGCUUAAAAGAAGUCCAAACAAUUAAUCUAUGAUCAAAAUAGUUGCUGUUUAAUUUCCCGUGACUCGACUAAUUGAUUAAUCAACUAAUCCUGUUGGCUCUAAUCUCGAGUCAUGCCUCUUCUGUUGCUUCUUUUUCUAAAGCCAGUAAGCAGCCUCAACACAACUUACUUACUAUUAAAAGUAUAAUAUGUAACAAUUUCACAAUAAAAUGUCUAAAAACACAAACCUGUGUUAUAUAUUUAG